AAAGUCGUAACAAGGUUUCCGUAGGUGAACCUGCGGAAGGAUCAUUACCAAGUCUGCUCUUGUGGCAUUCUUACUGAUUGUGUGUGAACCGUUACUGCAGACACUACUUGGCGGGUAAAUGCGUGGUGAAAACCAUUCAUUCCCGCCUCGUGGCUUUAACAUAAUCCAUAUAACCUGACUACUGAAUUUUCAAAACCUAGAAAACUUUUAGCAAUGGAUCUCUAGGCUCUU
rnacentral:misc_RNA from 1 species